rnacentral:tRNA from 1 species
GUCCUGGUAGCUCAGUUGGAUAGAGCAGCUCACUCCUAACGAGCAGGUCGGAGGUUCGAAUCCCCCCCAGGACA